rnacentral:rRNA from 1 species
CCUACGGGGGGCAGCAGUGGGGAAUAGUGCACAAUGGGGGAAACCCUGAUGCAGCGACGCCGCGUGAGUGAAGAAGUAAUUCGUUAUGUAAAGCUCUAGCAGCAGGGAAGAAAAGGACGGUACGUGAGUAAGAAGCCCCGGCUAACGACGGGCCAGCAGCCGCGGUAAUACGUAGGGGGCAAGCGUUAUCCGGAUUUACUGGGGGUACAGGGAGCGUAGACGGCAGUGGAAGUCUGGAGUGAAAGGCGGGGGCUCCACCCCCGGCCUGCUCGGGAAACUGUACGGCUGGAGUGCAGGAGAGGUCAGUGGCAUUCCUAGUGUAGCGGUGACAUGCUUAGAUAUUAGGCG